UAAAACAAGCAUAACUUCAAAAUUUUCAACACAUAGAGAGGAAACUUGAUAUUAUUGAGAUAUGUAAAAGCAUAUGUGUUUGACGAAGUUUUGUACUAAAAAGGAGUGGUUAAAUAAGUACUAAAAAGAUACGGAUCAACUCUUUUUCCUCUCUCUUACAUGACCAAUUGCUUAAUUGUUAUUUUUUUGAACGAAAAGGAAUUUUCGGGAGUACAGGAUAAACAGGGAAGAGUAUAUGUACACACAUGGUGGACUAGUGCAUGCACGAAAUAGUUAAUCUCUUGAUUGAAUCUUGUACGUGGUGCAUGGUAAUUUUUCCUAUGUACGUACAUGCAUGCAUGAGGGCGGCAAUAUGUACAGCGGAAAUAUAUGCCUCGGUUAUACGUGGCAGCCGCAACGACGGACAUACAAAUAAGCAUACGAACACCCGCACAUAUGAUAGAUUGAUGGAUAUAUUUUUGAGGUCUAGAUGUGCACUCGAAAGUGUCGCGGCUAGUGCAAGACAAGUCGAAGCUGUUACAUCAAGCAUUGGUGGAGUCCAACGAGCCGGAAGGACUGCAGCAUAUACACCAGGGAGGCUGUGGUUAGCUAGCCUCACCGUUGUUGGAAGCUGAUACAACGCAGCUCCAUGGCCAGUAUGAAGCAAAGACCCGGCGAGUAAAAGUAAAAAGGAGAUAUAUCACAAAAGCUAUCAUUUUAUUGAUCGAUGAUACAAAAGUUCACUGGGACUAAUCAAACUUUGUUCUGGACGAGCUAAGACAAAUUAUAUUUAACUAAGAUAGAACCUAUUUGAACUAAGUGCAGCUUUUGCAGAGCAGUCUAUGAUCUCUAGUCCGCUCCCUCACUCAGGAGCUUUGUAUGCUAGGAUCGUCGCGAUCUCCGGAAGUGUCCCGCCGGCGGCCAGGAAGGCAGCCACCUCCGCACGGCGUCUUGUGUACGAGUCGGCCACCUGUGAUGAACUCCGGACUGCAUCCUCAUGAGCUUCAACAUGGCGGGAGCUAGAAGUCAUCAUGUCAGCUAGGACGCAUAUGGAGGCGAGGUCAGCAAGGCGUCCCUCUAGGCGCGGCCCUUCCUUCUCGAGGCGGCGAAGUCCUUGAGUGAUCCCUGCAUGAGCUGCAUCAAGUUUCUCCAGCAGAGAUGACACUUGCGCCGGCGCGGGUGCCGAUGUGUCGGAAGUGUCAAGACCACCUUUUCUGCCCAGACGAGCCACCACUGCUUCAAGGUGGCGAAUCAGAAUCUCAAGGUCUGGCGGGACCUCGUUCGCAUAUGUGAUCUUCCACAUACUUAUCACAGACUCUAUUUUCAUGAUGGUUAGCUCCUCAUUGAUCGGCUGCUCCCUUAGUGCCUCUUGUAUAUCUUUGAGUCCUAUUGAGAUGUACUUUGCUGCUGUUCCGGGCGGGAGAACAAGGCUUGGUGUUGAGAUGUUACUAGUUGGAGGGACUUUGA